rnacentral:rRNA from 1 species
AUUGAACGCUGGCGGCAUGCUUUACACAUGCAAGUCGAACGGCAGCGCGGGGCAACCUGGCGGCGAGUGGCGAACGGGUGAGUAAUAUAUCGGAACGUACCCAGAAGUGGGGGAUAACGUAGCGAAAGUUACGCUAAUACCGCAUACGAUCUACGGAUGAAAGUGGGGGACCUUCGGGCCUCAUGCUUGUGGAGGGGCCGAUAUCUGAUUAUCUAGUUGGUGAGGUAAAGGCUCACCAAGGCAACGAUCAGUAGCUGGUCUGAGAGGAGGACCAGCCACACUGGGACUGAGACACGGCCCAGACUCCUACGGGAGGCAGCAGUGGGGAAUUUUGGACAAUGGGCGCAAGCCUGAUCCAGCAAUGCCGCGUGAGUGAAGAAGGCCUUCGGGUUGUAAAGCUCUUUUGUCAGGGAAGAAACGGCUCGGGCUAAUAUCCUGGGCUAAUGACGGUACCUGAAGAAUAAGCACCGGCUAACUACGUGCCAGCCGCCGCGGUAA